rnacentral:lncRNA from 1 species
AGUGAGGUAAGUUGCCCAGUGAGCCUCAGCUGGUGAAUGGGUGAGUGGGACUCUGACCAGGUGGUCUUUCUCCGGGCUCCGUCCACAUACCCAUCAAGUCACACGGCUUCCUGGGAUCUUGCAAGGCCUAUGGUAAAACCUGACUCAGAGACGUGGAGCCUGCCCCUUGGGCUUUAGUAGAAUGUGCUGUCACUCAGUGGUCUUCAACCGCAGGGCUCUGCAGAAUCCCUGCGGGUCAUGGGAAGGAGAGGUGAAGGGAGCGUGGACCUCACACCCUUGUCAGGCAGAGCGAGUCAGAGUCCUGUGCGUUAUCUGCGGGCACUCACUAGGGUGUCAUCUGAAUAAGGAAGAACAGCCAAGUCAGUUGCUCACACAGCGGCCCCAGCAGCUGCAAAGAGAAAUGGGGUGCAGAAAGCCGACCCGCAGAGGUCACGGUGUGAGGCCAACAUGCAUUCUGGCGAUUCCUUUGCAGGGUGAACGAGAGGUUGAGUGUGGGUGAGGCCGUGGGGUGGUGAGGCCAGAUCAGGAGCCGCUGAAGCAGAAGGAGGAGAACACUGCCCAAUCCUAGGGGCCAGGGGGAGGUUAGAGGCGGGGCGACGGCAAGUCAGGCGGGUGAUGAAAGAUGCGGUGGGUGGGCCGAGUCGGGAGCUUGCCUGUGCAGUUGUUGCUGAAUACAGGGCAGAGGGAAGGUGAAGGGCCUCUAAGGGAGGUGAGAGAGCCAGCUGGGAGCUUUCUGUGCAAGAUGGUGGACCACAGAGGACCCAGGAGGAGAGACUCUGAGGUUUAGUGAACAGGUGCAGAAGAACGGGAAGCUAGAUUUAAUUUUUUUUCUUUUUGGUACUAGGAAUGGAACCCAGAGGCUCACACAUGCUAGAAAAGUACAGUACACUGAGCUACAUCCCUGGCUGGACGGACUUUCCUUCCUUCCUUCCUUCCUUCCUUCCUUCCUUCCUUCCUUCUCUCUCUAAGUAGCCCAGGCUGACCUUGAACUUGCCAUCCUCCUGCCUCAGCCUCCUGAGUUGCUGCUGUGCACCACCACACUCAACUUGGUAUUUCAUUUUACAAAUAAAGAUUAUGCAUUUGGUAGAGCAGAGGACACCAAAGGAUCACCCUGACUGUAUCAAGCACCUCACCAUGCUCUUGAUGAAGUGGAUUCGAAACCGGUCGGGUGAACUUUAUCCAGAGGUGCAGCCUCAUGUGUCACUGUUAGCCCAAAGGCAGGUGUGGCCCUCCCUCAGUGACCUUUGUUUUAUGAAGCACAUAUCUUGACAAGUCUCUGAUAGUCUAUGUUAUCAAAAACGCUACUCCCUCAUCUUCCCUCUCUGUGUGUCCAUUUCUUCAUGGUGUCAUUGGUUGCUAAUGUGGGGUUCCUGGAUGAGCCUAUGGAGUCCAUUGGCUCCUCUGGAUAAUUAUCUACUUACAUUUCUGUCUCCCUCGCUAGACUACGAGCAACCUCAGGGGUGAAGCAAGCUGGAACUGGAAAAAGAAACCUGUAGGUAUCAAUUCAUGGUUGAGCUGUGGUCCACUCUUUCCAUCAACACCUGCUAUCUCAACAGGCACACAGGCAAGAGGGACGCAGUCAUUAGAAAAUGGCAAGACAGUCCUACUCAUUAUUGGACUGUGCUGUGAUGGAGGAAGCACACAGGGGGACACCCCUGGACAACGGGGUUUAUGUUCCUGGAGGGGCAAUGUCAGAUGCUCUGGCAGGAUACAGGGAGUCGGGUUCAGAAGAGGCAAGAGAAGGGCGAGUCAGACACAGAUGAGAAACUGCACGGCAGACAUGCCAAACGCAUGUUACCUGGGAUACUGACGCCAAAGGGGACCCGGAAGGGCUGAGGUAGAUAGGGCUGGGUGGUGACCGGCCUUUUAAACCAAACCAUGAAUUCGGAUUUUAUCCCCAGGGCCACUGGAGCCAUUGGAAGAUGGAGAGUAGGGAGUGGCCUGACUGAAUUCGUACUUGGAAGGAUUACGAGAAGGGGGAAGGUCACGGAUCAGGAAAGUUCUAGAAGGCUUCUGCAAUAAUCAGGGUUAAAACCAUGUUGUCCUUAACUGCCCAGGCUGCACCACAGUCACUGUUACUCUAAUUACUCUGCCUACUGCUACUGUCACCACUACCACCACCACGGGGACAGAGAGGGGGCAGAGGGACUGUCAAGGCCAUCAGCAAGAAUGAGGCCACGGAGCAUGCGGAAGGAAGAGAGAAGUGGCCAGAGGACAAGGAGGUGUGAGAAGCUGAAGAUGAGAAAGGGCAAAUGAGAGGUCGGAAAACCAGGAGACGGGGAUCUCCUAGAAACCAGGGCAGGGCGGGGAGAACUGUCAUGGUGGGGGCCUGGAGUGUCCCCCAAAGGCUCAUGUACUUGAAGGCUUGGUCCCCAGUGCAGCAGUGUCCAGAGGGGGCUUUUAAGGAAUGAUUAGAUCGUGAGGGCUCAAACCUCGUGAGUGGAUCGAUCCAUGUAUUUGAUGGGUUCAUAGUUUGAAUGGAUGGGGCCUCGUUGGAGGAGCAGGUCACUGGAGGUGUGCCUGGAAAGGUCUGUCUCAGCUCCAACAGCCCCCUUCUCUCUCGCCCUCUGCUUCCCUCUGUGGUUAGAGGGUAGAUGGGCGGAGGCCUGGUCCUGAGACCCACUUCCACCUGUGAGAGUCUGAGAAACACUUUGACUCUUGUCCAGUGGCUGUGUCAGCGAUGGUUCGUCCUGUUCAAGACGACACCCAAGAGCUUUCGCCACAGAGACAAGUGGCCUGUUUAAAUCUGUCCUCAAAUAAUAAAACACGAGCAAAGAUACAACUUGCAAAAAUAUGGCUCCCUGAUCAAACAUGGGCUGAGUCACAGCGGAUGGCUCCAGACACCCAUCCUCUCAGGCUGGUGGCGCUGGGGAAGCGAAGUCGGCCUCUGUGUCUCCUCCUGUGUGUGUUUGCAGUUGCUUCCUCCUCGGCUCCUCUGCCAGAGCCCAGCGGGCCCGGAGGUGCGGUUUGGUGGCAUGUGGGAUGACCACACUCAUCUCACGUCCGUGGGGGAGUUCAGAACAGCUUGCCCGGCCCCAGCGGUACUUGCCAGGUCGUGACGGGGAGGCAGAGCCCCGACGCCGCGGCCUCUUCCUGACUUGAAGUCGAGGCACUGGGGAGUCAGGUCUUGGUGUCAGAAACUCUCAGUGGACUCCAGCAGCUUCAACAGCGGCCAGCAGCAGAGAACACUGGGUGACCGCCUUCUGAAAACACUGCGGCAGAACAAUUUUCAAUCAUGAAUAAGAAGAGGAGGGGGAAAUGGCUUCUGCUGGCAUUUAGUCUUUGUCAGACACAUAAGAAUCUGUACCUUUUCGCCCCCCUCCCCAUCUUCUGGCAGCUAUUUAAAAUAUUUUACAGGGGGAAGUUCCUAGAAGGAGCUGUUUCUAAACGGUAUCCGUAAAAUGCUGAUGUCUCUUACUGUAAAGUUCAGGGGCUCCCCUGACACUCACAGAGACCUGCGUAUAAUCUCCUCACUUCUGGUCAUCGGUGCCAAGGAAGCCGUCCCAGCAUCAGAAGCUUUCUCCAGGUUCUCCGGAGGGUCGUUGGCGGUGGAGAGUGAGCACACUGGAGCCUCCAGGUCAUUCUCGUCUGCAUUUCUUAUCUUCAGUUAAUCUGGGGACUGACCAACAAUCAAGUUGGGACUAAAGAUGGGACUGCUCGAGCAACCAGCCUAGAUGAGCCACCUGCCAGCCCUGCAAGUGAGCCACCCUCCCUCCGCACAGGUCCUCAGGCCCAGAGGUGUCCCUUGGAGCCCUGCCCAGGUCAAAGAUUUCUGAGUAAGAUAAACAACUGUGUUUUAAAAAAUAUUAGUUGACAAAUGACAACUAUGAUGCUCAUUAUAAUGUGAUAUUCCGACAUGUGCAUAGCUUAUGCAGUGAUGAAAUCAAGCAGAUCAACAUAGCCAUCAUUCUUAACGAUUUUUUUGUGGGUCACUAUUUAAAAAUCUCCUUUUGCAAUUUUCAAGUAUGCAAUGUGUUGUUACCAGCUGUUGUCACUAUCUGCACAGCAGGUCUCAGGAUGUGUUCCUCCUGAUUGAAAUCGUACCCUUUGACCAAUAUCACCCCACCUGGCCUCUGUUAAUUGCCGGUCUACUCUCUAAUGCUAGGAGUUCAACUUUUUUUUUUUGGAUUCCACGAGUAAAUGAAAUGCAGGAUCAGUUUUUCCAUGCCUGAUUUAUUUCACUUAGCCUAAUGUGCCUUCCACGUUCAUCCAGAUUAUUUCAAAUGACAGAAUGUCAUUGAGGCUGAAUCCUAUUCCAUCACGGAUAGGAUCAUAUCCUCUACGUCCACUCCUCUGCUGAUGGAUGCUCAGGUUGGUGGCUUGUCUUGGCUCUCGUGAAGGACGGUGCCAUGAACGUGGAAGUGCACAUACAGCUUCGACAGACAGAUUUUAAUUUCUCUGGAUCAUGCCCAGAACUGGGAUUGCUGAGGAGCAUGCUAGUUCUAUGCUUAGCUUUAUGAGGAACCUCCACACUGUUUAUGAUUGUUGUUUUUUAACAUCGUGAAGUGUUGGGGUUUGCUACGCAGCAAUCAGAGCACUUGACGGCCAGAGUACCAAGCUCCUGGCUUUCUUCAGGCUUCAUGGUCACUUUUUGGUGAUGUCCUUUGAUGAUGAAUUUUCAUUAUGCAAAAAAAUCAGCAUACACAGACUCCAUGUGUCCAAUACCCCGCUCGAGUCUUGGUCUUCUCAGAGCCAAUUUUAUUUCCUCUAAGUCCCUACUUGUUUCCCUCCAUCCAUCCAUGUUAUGAUUAUUAUUUUGCAGUAUUGGGAUCAAACCCAAGGCCUUAUGCAUGCUGGACAAGCUCUUACCACUGAGCUACAUCUCCAGUCCCAAGCCAACCAUUUUUUUUUUUUUUGGUGCUGGGUAAUGAGCCCAGGGCCUCACACAUGCUGGGCAAGUUCUCUACCACUGAGCUACAUCUCCAGUCCCAACCAAACCUUAUUCUUUUUAAGCAAAUUCCUCAGCCCUUUCUUUUCUUUAUUAUUGUCCCUUGGUGAUCUCAACUGGACUCAAAACUACAUGCUGCUCACAUGCUGAAGACUCCUAAAGUUAUCGCAUGUAAUAGCAUGGUGGCCCAAAGCAUGACUUCUGGUGUCUUCAUGACCAGACUCAAAUUGUGACUUCCACAGACUACCUUUGUGGCCUCAGGCAAGUUACUUAACCUCUGUGUGCCUCAGUUUCCCACUCUGGGAAAUAAAAGACAAUACUUCCUACUAGCUUGUGGUGUCAUUCUGAGGAUUAAGUGAGUUACACUUGUAGAAUGCCUGGAAUGGAGACUGCACUUGUGCAGCCUCCGGGUGAUGAUCGUCUCUCCAGCCCGAACCCCAGGCUCAUCCGACCACCUGCUCACUUGCCAUUCUCACUUAGAGGUCAGAGAGACACCUCAGCUCAUUAUUCUAAAACCAAGCUCCUGGUCUACCCAGGCCCUCCCUCAGUCUCCGAUCUCAGUUAAGGGCAUCUCCGUCUUUCCAUUUCUUAGCUCAAAGUGCCACGAUGUGAUGUCACCCUUGACUUCUCUCUUGCUCAGGUAUCUCACAUCAAAUCCUAUUGGCUCUUUCAAGAUGUAGCUAGAGACACCGCCAUUAUGACUUCAGAGAAACCCCCAUCAGCCUCGCCUGUGAUGUGAUGAGAACCUCCUGACUGGUCUGCCUUCUUCCACCUCCCUCCAGCCUCUCCCUCAGUCCACUCCCAAAACAGCAGAGGGUGCCUUUACAGACUUAAGUCCAAUCAUGUCACCACUCUGACACUCCAUGUCACUCUCCACUGGCUUCUCAUGUGAUUCAAAGUGAACAUCCAAAGUCCCUACAACCCUCUCGGAUUCCAUCCUGACCCGUUCUCCCUCCUUUUUGCCAGCCUUGCGGACCUUUCUGCUCCUGGAACAUGCCAAGAGUCUCCCACCGUACAUCUUUACAAUCCAGCCAUCCCUCUUCUUGGGAUUCUCUUGUCCAGAUCUUCAUGGCUGCUCACUUGAUGAGCAUUCUGCUGGAUGGAGAGGCUGGAGUCCCUCUGUUUGCUUUUCUCCUUGGUGUUAAUCACCUAACACGAUUCCUAACACACCCAUUUAUUUUGUGUAUCACUCAUCUUUGGUCUCCAUCUAUAAAGUGUACACACCAUGAGGCAUUUUGUCUGUUUUGUUCACUGCUAAAUCCCUAGGACAGCACCUGAUACAAAGUAGAUGGGUAGACAGAUAAAUCUGUUUUUGGAAAGAUCCCUGAGGAAGCAAUAUGGAGGAUAAUCAGAGAAUGAAACUCUUUUGACCCAGCUUGAUCUAUACCCAAAGGACUUAAAAACAACAUACUACAGGGACACAGCCACAUCAACGUUUAUAGCAGCUCAAUUCACAACAGCUAAACUGUGGAGCCAACCUAGAUGCCCUUCAAUGGAUGAAUGAUUUAAAAAAUGUGGUAUAUAUACACAAUGGAUUAUUACUCAGCAAUAAAAGAGAAUAAAAUCAUGGCAUUUGCAGGUAAAUGGAUGGAGUUGGAGAAGAUAAUGCUAAGUGAAGUUAGCCAAUACCAAAAAACCAAAUGCUUAAUGUUUUCUCUGAUAUAAAGAGUCUGACUCAUAGUGGAGUAGGGAUGGGGAGCAUGGGAGGAAUAGAGGAACUUCAGGUAGGGCAGAGGGGUGGAAGGGGAAGGGAGAGGGCAGGGGGUUAGCAAGGAUGGUGGAAUGUGAUGGACAUCAUUAUCCAAAGUACAUGUAUGAAGACAGGAAUUGGUGUCAACAUGCUUUAUAUACAGAGAUAUGAAAAAUUGUGCUUUAUAUGUGUAAUAAGUGUUGUAAUGCAUUCCAAUGUCAUGUAUUUAAAAAAUAGAAUCAAUUAAAAAAAAGGAAAAGAAAAUAUCUGUGUAAGAACACUUGCAAAAAACAUGAUGAGCUCUUGAGCUGGAGAGAGGCAUGAAGGCAGAGGAGUGGCUGUUCCUCGGCAGAACCACAGAGUUGAUGGCCGUCUGAGUACAGAGGCCGGGAAGGGGACAGGGGUCAGUGAGGACAUGCAGGUCUCUGGCUGGAGUGAAUGCAGGGGUGCCACAUGGAAUAAGUUUUAAGAAAAGUAUAAGUUAGAUGUGUCCAAUGUGAAGGCGUCAUUUUGGAAAGACAUAUAAGAAAACAUAGGCCUGGGGUUAGAAAUGAGCCUUUGUAAUUAUGCACUUAAUCGCAUGGUUGUGAUUUGUUUGGUUUUUAUUUUAUUUCUUUUUGGUGCUGGGAUUGAGCCCAGGGGCGCUUCACCAAUGAGCCACAUCCCAGACCUUUUUAUUUGUUAUUCUGAGUCAGGGUUUCACUAAGUUGCUGAGGCUGGCCUCCAUCUUCUGCUUCAGCCUUCUGCGUUGCCUGGAUCCAGGUACGUGUUCCUGUGCCUGGCUUAAUUGCAUAUUUUUAAAAAUUAUAUUUCAAUUAUUAUAUGAAUAGUCUUAUCCAUUUAGGUUGAGCUCUCAUUUUUUUGUUUUUGUUUCCUCUACUCACAAUGGUGAGAUAAUAGCAGGACCUUGACAGAUAGUUGUGAUUGACAGAUGGGCUGAAGCAUAUUAAAAAACAAAACAACUUCGCCACCUAUUCCCUUUCCAAUCUCUGCUAUAAUUAGGGCUAUGAUGCAUGGCUACAUGGUCCCCCAAUACAUUUUCCCCUUCUUUCAGAGCAAUGGAAUUAUAGCUGGGUAUAUGAUGACUCAGCUAGAAACUGUCACUUUCCAGGUACCUUGCAGUUGAUGAGGGCAUGUCCCUGAGGUCAGGCCAAGGGAUGAUAGUGGCAGCCACGGGUGCCAUUUCUAGAGCUUGGCCUUAAAACGACAGGACUGUGUCCCAUUCCCUGUGGUCUCUGACCCUAAGUGAAACAAGGCUCUUUUGUGACCCAGCUUUGACCAGGCAGCUUAAGUAGAAAGACCGAGGGAUGGUAAGAGAAGAGGAUGGAAGGAACCUGGCUGGGCCUUAGGUGGCCUGGGCGAGCAGGGUGACAUGCUGACUGUCAUCUGGGAGAGGAUUGUCCGUCUUCUUUAAACAUCUGCAUUUUGGAGAUGCCUUAUUACGAAGCUGAGCCUUCAUUCUGACGGAUGGUUUGGGUGACUUAAUUGAUGUCCUUGUUUCUUAGUGACCCCAGUCAAUCAAGGAUCAAGAAUUUUUAAAAUAUUAAUGGAAUAUUUUUCAAAAGUCUGCCCUUGGUGUUGGUGAAUACUUGUUUUCUAAAUGUGAAAGGAAUCAUAGAAUUAUUAAAGGGAACAGACUCAGACAUGUAGGCAUUUAAGACAGUUUAGUACUUUCGUGAUAGGUCAGCGAUUUAGCACAAUAGACUGAUAGUUUUCUUUUUGUGGUGCUGAGGGUCACACCCAGGGUCUCAUGCAUAAUAGGCAAGUGCUCUAACCAUUGGGCUACACUCCCAGCCUUAAAUUGAUCUUCUAAAAUUUCUCCCAUAAUAUUCAGUUCUUUUUUUUAUUAAAUGGUUUUGAUUCAAUCUUUUUAGCACACUAUUUUUUAGCCUAUUCCAGGUGAUUUUACUAUCUUAACUAUUUGGAGGUGCCAAUCUUCCCAGUUUUUGUGUCCUUAUUUCUCUUUCUCUCAAGGUAGGUCAUUUUUCUGCAUGUGCUUUGUGAGCUCAUUUGGCAGAAGAACUGAGACUUCAAUAAAACUAGAACAACAACAACAAGAAAAUUAAAGGAAAAAAUAAUGGCUGAGGUCUUUUUGUUUCUCAUUUUGUUCUCUGAUUUAUUCCCAGCAUCUCAAACAGGACACGGCACACAGCAACCCCUCAGAACACAGGCAAGAGUGAGUGAGUGAGUGAACGCAGGGUGUCUGGGCUCAGCCUGUCCUGGGCAAUCCAGCUCUGGAGCCAAAUGUGUGUCCUCACCCACACCAACAAGAGGCCUCCCAAGCUCACAUCCGUGGAUCACCUCCGGGCCUGUCAACCGUGACUUCGUCAUACGCCUUGAUCGUCCCUCUCUCUCACACCAAGCAGCUCAUGAAAACAUCCCUUUCACCACACAGACUCCUUGAAGAGAGGCCUGGUAAAUAUGAUUUUCUGUGCUC